AGAGUUUGAUCAUGGCUCAGAUUGAACGCUGGCGGCAGGCUUAACACAUGCAAGUCGAACGGUAACGGGUUGAAAGCUUGCUUUCAAUGCUGACGAGUGGCGGACGGGUGAGUAAGGCUUGGGGAUCUGGCUUUUGGAGGGGGAUAACCAUUGGAAACGAUGGCUAAUACCGCAUAGAAUCGAGAGAUGAAAGGGGUGGGGAACCACUUGCCAAGGGAUGAACCCAAGUGAGAUUAGGUAGUUGGUGGGGUAAGGGCCUACCAAGCCGACGAUCUCUAGCUGGUCUGAGAGGAUGGCCAGCCACACUGGGACUGAGACACGGCCCAGACUCCUACGGGAGGCAGCAGUGGGGAAUAUUGCGCAAUGGGGGGAACCCUGACGCAGCCAUGCCGCGUGAAUGAAGAAGGCCUUCGGGUUGUAAAGUUCUUUCGGUGGUGAGGAAGGUUAGGAUGUUAAUAGCAUACUGAUUUGACGUUAGCCACAGAAGAAGCACCGG
rnacentral:rRNA from 1 species